rnacentral:misc_RNA from 1 species
UUUCCGUUGGUGAACCAGCGGAGGGAUCAUUACAGGACUCGCAAGACUCCUACAACCCUGUGAACUUAACUAUAAGCACGUUGCUUCGGCGGGUGUCUCGGAGGGGGUUCUCCCUCCCCGAGACGCUAAACCCGCCGGCAGCCUACAAUACUCUGUCUCUUUGCGUUGGCAUCUCGAGUACAAUCAAACAAGUUAAAACUUUCAACAACGGAUCUCUUGGUUCUG